GUUGCUCUGCCUCGCAGAUCGUAGUAGGCUGUGGCGGACUGGUGCGCCUCUUAUUUCGCGCGCACCGACGCAUAGAACCAAUGCUUCUUUAGUACUGUCAUGAACUGAUGGAGUGACGAAGGAUCUGUACACAUGUUCCCUGUAAUUCUUUCAAAGAAAUGGAACAGGGCAAUUCUCAUUUAGAUGAGAGCUAGCCUCAUCCUUGUUUUAUUUUGUUUCGGUGCUGCUCAAGGGAGAAGAUUUCUGGCUACUACCUCACAAGGAUUAAUGACAUUGAACAUAUAAAGGAUGAAGCAGUCCGGCUAUCUGGCGGCCGUGGCCACGUCUCCUUUUUGUGCGCGUUACUGUAGCGACGAGGGCAGCGAAAGCGAGCAGGCGGCGCAGCGAAGCGAACAGAGAAAAGGGGAAGCGAACGGGCAGCGCGAGAGAAAAGACCUAGCCCGCGCCCCCGCAGCCGCCUCCUCUCCUGCCGCCGCCGCCUCGUCCUCGUCUCCUUUCUUGCCCUCAGCGCCGCCUCCUCUCCUUCCUCUCUCUCCCUCUGCGCCACCUCCUCUCCUCUUCAUGCGUGGCGGCGUCUCGUCAUCCCCAGCCCCCGCCCAUCCCCAUCCUCCCCAAUCCCCUCCUCCCGCACGAACCACCACCAAGAAGCCACGGGCUCCUCUUCUCCUCCCCAAUCGUGAGUCCUCACCACCAAGAAGCCAUGGGGGGACUGUGCCGCCGCUGGAAGAAAAAAGGAAGAGGAGGUGGCACAGGGGAGACCUGAAAAGAAGCAUCCAAGGAUCUAUGGCGGGGGAGACCAAGGAGACGCAGGGGAGGGGGUCCAAGGCCAAGCCUUCGCCGCCGGCGGCGUUGGCAGAAGUGGAGGCGAAUCAAAUCCCCUAGGUCAUCGGGGAUUGGUCAAGGACAAGCUCGUCCGGGUCGUCAUGGCCGGCGCCGGCAAAGCGGGAAGGCGGAGGUGUCGUGGACAAGGACCCCAUGGCCACCUUCGCCAAGAGCGUCCGCAUCUUCAUCCACUACUUCUCCGCCACGGACAUGCCUCCUGCCUUGCAUCUCCUUGUUCUUCCUCAUCCUUGUUUUUGCUAUGUUUUUGGGAGUAAUCCUUAUUUGAUUUGAUGCAGUAUUUUAGGUAAUCUGGUUGGCGAAAUUGAUGCUUGUGUAAAAUAUUUGGGGUUUCUUAGGGGGAGAAAAUAGCGGUAGUUAAUUUAUUCGCAUUAGUUAGCCUGCUGGUUUAGGAUCUGCAUCGUUGAGGUCUUUAGCUAAUUCCUCUGUUCUUUGGUCGAGGGAAGACGUCCAAGAUCAUAAUAUUAGGCUUCUCCCCGUGAUGUGAUGUUUAUGGGAUGAUGAUAGUAACAUGAGUGUGAUCUUAUUUGAGAAAAUAGCGGUAGUUAAUUUAUUCGCAUUAGUUAGCCUGCUGGUUUAGGAUCUGCAUCGUUGAGGUCUUUAGCUAAUUGCUCUGUUCUUUGGUCGAGGGGAAGAUGUCCAAGAUCAUAAUAUUAGGCUUCUCCCCGUGAUGUGAUGUUUAUGGGAUGAUGAUAGUAACAUGAGUGUGAUCUUAUUUGCAGGGAAGACCUAUGACAUGUUUGCAAAGACGGAAAGAUACAUAAGAUCAAUGCUGAAUACGUCUUCAAGGUGCUCGAUGGGAUUGAGUUCCUAGGGUUUUUAGAGCCCCUGAUCAAGCAUUUGAAGAAGCAAAAAUGUAGCCCGGAGCAAAAUGGAUGAAACUGGAUAAAGAGGCAGUGCUGUAGGAGCAAAACGGUGUUCUUCACCUCCUGAUGCUCUUGACGCAGUUUUUUCUCUUCAGGCAUUUGCUUGCAUCAAAGAUUUAUUUCCACCGCCUAAUCGAUCAAAACAAUUGCUGGGGAGGCACAUGAAUAAGGUAAUAAUGAAUAAGAUUUGAAGAAAGAAGCUGAAGUCGUGUGCAUACCUAUGAUCUGCUUCCUUGUUGACUAGGUAUUCGUGCAUCGUUGCAUGAUGUGCUUCUAACAUGUAUCAGCAACAAAACAAAGUUUCCAGGUUUUUCUAAGCUGGAGCGAGCGAGCCAAUUUGGCUAGCCUUCAUCGGCAAGGCUAGCCUUGCCUAGCAAGGUAAACUGGCAAGGGAUCCAAACGCUCCCUUAAUUUCUGUAGGUUUUCCUAUGUUCAGUGGAAAACAUUGUGUCCAACCUGCACAAAAAUGCCAAGAAGUCCUUCUCGGAGAUGUAAGCCCUGGCGCAAGUUUCUGCCAUGAUUUCCUUCGGUUGGAUUUCGUGGAUUUAGGUGUUGAAAAAUUAUGGGCUGUGGAUGCAGGAUUAAGGACAUGUACCUGCACUACAACGAGAGAUCUGGGCUGCUUCUUGUGGCUUCCAAACUUGAAAUGUUUGUUUGGAAGUUAGUUUAGUUUUUUUAUUGUGGAUUCACAGCUUCUCACAUGUACCAUCCUCUUAGACCUUUAGAUUUUCAAAGAAACUAAAUAAAGAUAUGGUGGUAUGGUUUCAAUAGUACAACCUAAAGCCUUCCAUGCUUUA